UACGUAGGGGGCGAGCGUUGUCCGGAUUCAUUGGGCGUAAAGGGCGCGUAGGCGGCGCGGUAAGUCGGGUGUGAAAUCUCGGAGCUUAACUCCGAAACUGCAUUCGAUACUGCCGUGCUUGAGGACUGGAGAGGAGACUGGAAUUUACGGUGUAGCGGUGAAAUGCGUAGAUAUCGUAAGGAAGACCAGUGGCGAAGGCGGGUCUCUGGACGGUUCCUGACGCUGAGGCACGAAGGUCAGGGGAGCAAACGGG
rnacentral:rRNA from 1 species